AGCGGGAGGCCUAACACAUGCAAGCCGAGCGGUAUUGUUUCUUCGGAAAUGAGAGAGCGGCGUACGGGUGCGGAACACGUGUGCAACCUGCCUUUAUCUGGGGGAUAGCCUUUCGAAAGGAAGAUUAAUACUCCAUAACAUAUUGAUUGGCAUCAAUUAAUAUUGAAAGCUCCGGCGGAUAGAGAUGGGCACGCGCAAGAUUAGCUAGUUGGUGAGGUAACGGCUCACCAAGGCGAUGAUCUUUAGGGGGCCUGAGAGGGUGAUCCCCCACACUGGUACUGAGACACGGACCAGACUCCUACGGGAGGCAGCAGUGAGGAAUAUUGGUCAAUGGGUGCAAGCCUGAACCAGCCAUCCCGCGUGAAGGACGACUGCCCUAUGGGUUGUAAACUUCUUUUGUAUAGGGAUAAACCUACCCUCGUGAGGGUAGCUGAAGGUACUAUACGAAUAAGCACCGGCUAACUCCGUGCCAGCAGCCGCGGUAAU
rnacentral:rRNA from 1 species